rnacentral:rRNA from 1 species
AUAUCAAUAAGCGGAGGAAAAGAAACUAACAAGGAUUCCCCUAGUAACGGCGAGUGAACCGGGAUGAGCUCAAAUUUGAAAUCUGGCGUCCUCAGGGCGUCCGAGUUGUAAUCUAUAGAGGCGUUUUCCGUGCCGGACCGUGUCCAAGUCCCUUGGAACAGGGUAUCAAAGAGGGUGACAAUCCCGUACUUGACACGACGACCGGUGCUCUGUGAUACGUCUUCUACGAGUCGAGUUGUUUGGGAAUGCAGCUCAAAAUGGGUGGUGAGUUCCAUCUAAAGCUAAAUAUUGGCGAGAGACCGAUAGCGAACAAGUACCGUGAGGGAAAGAUGAAAAGCACUUUGGAAAGAGAGUUAAACAGUACGUGAAAUUGUUGAAAGGGAAACGAUUGAAGUCAGUCGUGACUGUUGGGCUCAGCAGGUUCUGCCUGUGUAUUCCCUUCAGUCGGGUCAACAUCAGUUUUGACCGGUGGAUAAGGGCAGCAGGAAUGUGGCACCCUCGGGUGUGUUAUAGCCUGUCGUCGCAUACAUCGGUCGAGACUGAGGAACGCAGCUCGCCUUUAUGGCCGGGGUUCGCCCACGUCCGAGCUUAGGAUGUUGACAUAAUGGCUUUAAACGA